CUUCACUGUAGGCGUCCACAGGCUUGGUUCUGCCAUCGCGCUCCGUCCGCGAUCCCCUCCCCGCGCCCGAUCCUCCACGCUCGAUCCUCGAAUCCCGCGGCUUCCUUCGAUGGCACGACCCCAUCCAUCUCGCCAGUGUCCGUGGUCCCCUCCCCGCGCUCCCCACCACGACGACACGACCCCAUCCAUCUCGCUGCUGUCCACGCCCAGUCGCGCCUCCCACGAUCACGCCCACGGACGCAACCUCCCUCCCUCCCCGUCCCCGUUCAUGUCGCCCCCGUCCGUGAUCCCCUCCCCGCCCUCCUCUCCGCGACCCCAUCCAUCCUGUCGCCGUCCACGCCCAGCAGCGCUCAAAAGCAAAAAAGGGUACGAAUACGAAUCCCAAUCCAGGGCCGGAGGGCGAGCGAACUCAAAAGCAAGCUGUUCCAGUCCAAUCCGCCCCAGUCCAAAUCUAAUCGCCGGGUUUAGGCAGAAGGGGUGGGACGCGGCGAGGUUUAGGCGGGGUUUGUUUUGUCCCUUUCGUGCGAUUCUGCUCUCCGCGCGGGAGGCAAGUACUGACGGAAGCGAAGACCAAGGCGGAGGAGGGGGUCCCCGGCGGUGGAAGUGGAACGCGCCGAUGCGCAAGUUUCAGGACUCCAUCAAGGCCCUCCAGGCCGACAUCGAUCAUGCCAAUGCGAUAGCAGGGUGUCGGAAUUCUUGAGGGACUACGAUGGCUCGGUCAUCCAGAUGCGGGUGGCGUACAGCGCCGUCGCGCAUUUCCUCCUGCAGUGGACCGACUGCAAGCUCGCCGGCGCGCUCGGCCUCCUCAAGGUUAUGCUAUACAAGGUGUGCGCGGACGGCUCGUCGGCGCUUCCUGAUUGGGACAUGGAGGCCAGCAUCAGGGAGUUUUACGGCGUCAUUUUCCCGUUGUUGCUGCAGCUUCCGAGUGGCAUCACCGAGCUGGACGACAGGAAGCAGAGGAAGCUCUGCCUCAAGAAAUUCAGGAGCAGGGAUGAGCAGCUCUGGGAGGUGGACACGGAGAGGGAGCUUGAGUGUGGGAUCUGCCUCGAGGAAAUGACACCUACUCUACUCCGCAGCUUAAAACCUCAAGAUAUGUCGGUAAUCAAACAAGUACAAGUUUCAAGGAAAUGGGAAUUUCAUGGAAAUACAGACAUUGGGUCCAUAUUACACAUUGAUAUGAUUUUGGCUGACAAAGAGCGCUGUCUGAGGUGCGUGGUCAAGUCGAGGCGAAGAUGAGCAAGGAGGAUGUGCUCAAGGUGCAGUUCUUGAUUUCAGAUCUCUGAAGCCAAUUACGUACACAUUUUCCUACCACGACUUUUAUUCUGCUUUCCGUUUCUCAACGUCUUGGACAUUGCCGGCGAGCGCGGUCUCCUCGACAACUUCUACUGCUAACUCGGGUGCAAGAUGCCCAGCAAACUUCCCAAUCCAGCUGCCGGCAAGGAGAUGAGGUUCCCGACGGCGACAAUUUUCCACUACACAACCGGAUUCUUCAGCAGCAUAUGGAUCCGUUGAAGCGCCGUGUGACAAUGCCACCAAAGAGCAGCAACAAACAAGCUCAAAGUCUCCGCUAACCACUAAUCUCAUAAAGCUUGAAUUUUCUCAUUGCUAUGUUUCCUUCUCCUAGCAAAGUUAAGAUGUUUGCACAUUUCUAGCUUAUUAGGUCCUUGUGUGGAAUGUGUUUGAACAAUGAUCUCAUUUAAACAAUAUCAACAUGUGUGAU